GGUUAAGCGACUAAGCGUACACGGUGGAUGCCCUGGCAGUCAGAGGCGAUGAAGGACGUGCUAAUCUGCGAUAAGCGUCGGUAAGGUGAUAUGAACCGUUAUAACCGGCGAUUUCCGAAUGGGGAAACCCAGUGUGAUUCGUCACACUAUCAUUAACUGAAUCCAUAGGUUAAUGAGGCGAACCGGGGGAACUGAAACAUCUAAGUACCCCGAGGAAAAGAAAUCAACCGAGAUUCCCCCAGUAGCGGCGAGCGAACGGGGAGCAGCCCAGAGCCUGAAUCAGUGUGUGUGUUAGUGGAAGCGUCUGGAAAGGCGUGCGAUACAGGGUGACAGCCCCGUACACAAAAAUGCACAUGCUGUGAGCUCGAUGAGUAGGGCGGGACACGUGGUAUCCUGUCUGAAUAUGGGGGGACCAUCCUCCAAGGCUAAAUACUCCUGACUGACCGAUAGUGAACCAGUACCGUGAGGGAAAGGCGAAAAGAACCCCGGCGAGGGGAGUGAAAAAGAACCUGAAACCGUGUACGUACAAGCAGUGGGAGCACGCUUAGGCGUGUGACUGCGUACCUUUUGUAUAAUGGGUCAGCGACUUAUAUUCUGUAGCAAGGUUAACCGAAUAGGGGAGCCGAAGGGAAACCGAGUCUUAACUGGGCGUUAAGUUGCAGGGUAUAGACCCGAAACCCGGUGAUCUAGCCAUGGGCAGGUUGAAGGUUGGGUAACACUAACUGGAGGACCGAACCGACUAAUGUUGAAAAAUUAGCGGAUGACUUGUGGCUGGGGGUGAAAGGCCAAUCAAACCGGGAGAUAGCUGGUUCUCCCCGAAAGCUAUUUAGGUAGCGCCUCGUGAAUUCAUCUCCGGGGGUAGAGCACUGUUUCGGCAAGGGGGUCAUCCCGACUUACCAACCCGAUGCAAACUGCGAAUACCGGAGAAUGUUAUCACGGGAGACACACGGCGGGUGCUAACGUCCGUCGUGAAGAGGGAAACAACCCAGACCGCCAGCUAAGGUCCCAAAGUCAUGGUUAAGUGGGAAACGAUGUGGGAAGGCCCAGACAGCCAGGAUGUUGGCUUAGAAGCAGCCAUCAUUUAAAGAAAGCGUAAUAGCUCACUGGUCGAGUCGGCCUGCGCGGAAGAUGUAACGGGGCUAAACCAUGCACCGAAGCUGCGGCAGCGACACUAUGUGUUGUUGGGUAGGGGAGCGUUCUGUAAGCCUGCGAAGGUGUGCUGUGAGGCAUGCUGGAGGUAUCAGAAGUGCGAAUGCUGACAUAAGUAACGAUAAAGCGGGUGAAAAGCCCGCUCGCCGGAAGACCAAGGGUUCCUGUCCAACGUUAAUCGGGGCAGGGUGAGUCGACCCCUAAGGCGAGGCCGAAAGGCGUAGUCGAUGGGAAACAGGUUAAUAUUCCUGUACUUGGUGUUACUGCGAAGGGGGGACGGAGAAGGCUAUGUUGGCCGGGCGACGGUUGUCCCGGUUUAAGCGUGUAGGCUGGUUUUCCAGGCAAAUCCGGAAAAUCAAGGCUGAGGCGUGAUGACGAGGCACUACGGUGCUGAAGCAACAAAUGCCCUGCUUCCAGGAAAAGCCUCUAAGCAUCAGGUAACAUCAAAUCGUACCCCAAACCGACACAGGUGGUCAGGUAGAGAAUACCAAGGCGCUUGAGAGAACUCGGGUGAAGGAACUAGGCAAAAUGGUGCCGUAACUUCGGGAGAAGGCACGCUGAUAUGUAGGUGAAGCGACUUGCUCGUGGAGCUGAAAUCAGUCGAAGAUACCAGCUGGCUGCAACUGUUUAUUAAAAACACAGCACUGUGCAAACACGAAAGUGGACGUAUACGGUGUGACGCCUGCCCGGUGCCGGAAGGUUAAUUGAUGGGGUCAGCGCAAGCGAAGCUCUUGAUCGAAGCCCCGGUAAACGGCGGCCGUAACUAUAACGGUCCUAAGGUAGCGAAAUUCCUUGUCGGGUAAGUUCCGACCUGCACGAAUGGCGUAAUGAUGGCCAGGCUGUCUCCACCCGAGACUCAGUGAAAUUGAACUCGCUGUGAAGAUGCAGUGUACCCGCGGCAAGACGGAAAGACCCCGUGAACCUUUACUAUAGCUUGACACUGAACAUUGAGCCUUGAUGUGUAGGAUAGGUGGGAGGCUUUGAAGUGUGGACGCCAGUCUGCAUGGAGCCGACCUUGAAAUACCACCCUUUAAUGUUUGAUGUUCUAACGUUGACCCGUGAUCCGGGUUGCGGACAGUGUCUGGUGGGUAGUUUGACUGGGGCGGUCUCCUCCUAAAGAGUAACGGAGGAGCACGAAGGUUGGCUAAUCCUGGUCGGACAUCAGGAGGUUAGUGCAAUGGCAUAAGCCAGCUUGACUGCGAGCGUGACGGCGCGAGCAGGUGCGAAAGCAGGUCAUAGUGAUCCGGUGGUUCUGAAUGGAAGGGCCAUCGCUCAACGGAUAAAAGGUACUCCGGGGAUAACAGGCUGAUACCGCCCAAGAGUUCAUAUCGACGGCGGUGUUUGGCACCUCGAUGUCGGCUCAUCACAUCCUGGGGCUGAAGUAGGUCCCAAGGGUAUGGCUGUUCGCCAUUUAAAGUGGUACGCGAGCUGGGUUUAGAACGUCGUGAGACAGUUCGGUCCCUAUCUGCCGUGGGCGCUGGAGAACUGAGGGGGGCUGCUCCUAGUACGAGAGGACCGGAGUGGACGCAUCACUGGUGUUCGGGUUGUCAUGCCAAUGGCACUGCCCGGUAGCUAAAUGCGGAAGAGAUAAGUGCUGAAAGCAUCUAAGCACGAAACUUGCCCCGAGAUGAGUUCUCCCUGACUCCUUGAGAGUCCUGAAGGAACGUUGAAGACGACGACGUUGAUAGGCCGGGUGUGUAAGCGCAGCGAUGCGUUGAGCUAACCGGUACUAAUGAACCGUGAGGCUUAACCUU
rnacentral:rRNA from 1 species